GACGAACCCAAGGGUUGCCACCACUCAGAGGAGCACAGCAGGAUUAGCCCCACACAGGUGAAAAGAAAGUGAAUGGUUCUUUCUGUGAGCAGAUUUUCUUUCUAAAACAAUGCCUCCUGCAGCUAAAGGAGGAAAAGAGGAAACCAACAAUACCAACAGCUAGGGGAAGAGAUAGGUGAGGUCUCUGUUUUCUGAUGAGGAAGCUAAGCCUUGGAAGCCAGGCUUCAAACCUAGCGGGGGCAUAAUGAUCUUUCCAGUGUACAUUUUUGCUUUUGCAAAUUAGAAGAGUUAUUAAGUUUAUGAGUCAGUAUCAUGAAGAUCAAGAUGAUAUCUAAAAGGUUACUGGCAUGCAGUUUCCAUAAUAUUGCUAGAAGACAAGACUGAAUCAUAGCCUCCCAGGAACAGAAGAAACCUCAAAAGUUAUCGAGGCUGUUGUUUGGCAGCAACUGGAGCUACGUCCAAGCUGGUGGGUAUGCAGCGAUGGGCUGGGAACUCAUCUCCUCUUGGAAGUGAUACUUCUAAAGCUGCUGUGCUCAUAACUAGGGAAGCAGAAGAGGAGAUCGUCCUCCUGCCCUGGCAACCAGGGAUGAUGGCACGUGCCUAGGCUCAAGCAUGGCAAUUCUCCCAUCCAGAACUUGGAAUCUUCGGGGUAUGUCACAAAGACCCAGGGUUCUCACUUCACAGAGCUGAUAGUGUGAGAUCUCAAAGAAACUGCCAUGAGAGUCCUUUUCAUAUUAAGUUAACCAGACUUGAUUUCUGUAGCUUGCAAUCAAGAAUCUUAACUGAUGCCAAAAGAGUGAGGAAUUUUGAAAAACACUGACAUGCCAUUUCAGAUUAAACAAACAGACAUGCAAACAAGCACAGAAGAACUGUGAGCACAGUUCCAAAGCAAUGAGACAGAUUUUCACAAAUGCGUAUUCUUUCUGCAGUGAGGACUACAGCAAAUCUCAGAGGUCACAAUGUUGGGAGAGCUCUUAAGAGGUCAUGUACUUUAGGCCCGGCGUGACGGCUCAUGCCUAUAAUCCCAGCACUUUUGGAGGCCGAGGUGGGCUGAUCAUUUGAGUCCAGGUGUUCAAGACCAGCCUGGCCAACACGGCAAAACCCCAUCUCUACAAAAUAUACAAAAAUUAGCCAGGCAUGGUGGCAGGUGCCCUGUAAUCCCAGCUACUCAGGAGGCUGAGGCACAAGAAUCGCCUGAACCCGGGAGGCGGAGGUUGCAGCGAGAUGAGAUCCUGCCACUGCACUCCAGCCUAGGUGACAGAGCCAGACUCUGUCUCAAAAAAAAAAAAAAAAAAAAAAAUUGGUCAUGUACUUCAGUCUUCGGUGCAAAGAUUCUUCAGACACCUAGCAUUUUAGAGUGUGAAAAGAAACAAGAAAUCGUCAGGAAACAAAUAAACAAAAAACCUUCAUUUGCUGAUAAGAAAACCUCUGCCGAGAACAAAGUUCUUUUCCCGAUCAUAUCAGGAGUAAUAAAGGAUCAGAAAGCAGGCAUUUAAACUUGCAGUCGAGGGACCCUUUUAUCAUAGCUGGCAGCUUCUUGGAAUUCAGUUCAAGAGGCUUUCUCAUGCCUUGGUUGUAGGAAGACCAGACUCUCCCUUCACAAGGUAUAAAAGUUUUAUCCUGUAUCAAUGCCACAGUGGUCUGAGGCUGUCUGGCUCAUUUAUUGAGACUAAUGUAUUGAUGAAGCCAAGGUCAUACACUUGAGUCAGGAAAGAGCUGUCCAUUUGGCUCAGGAUGCAUGGUAGAGUGUGGAGAUGUUGUCCAGCCAUGCUGUAAAAAUGGGACCCUGCCAGGGGUUGGGAGGGGCUGGGGAGGAGUAUGUGAAUAUCUCCGUAAAUCCAUUACUGCUGCUCAGAACACAGGGCAGAAGCACGCUCCCAGCGGGGCUGAGAUGAAGGCAAUGGCGUCAGCUUUAUGUAGAACAGCUGUAAUUUAGACUCUGCUUUAGAAAACAAAGUGUAUUUGGCCCCAAACAGUGAAGAAUUCUAUUUUGCUAAACAAAACAGCCUUGCCGUUUAGGAAACAUCCUUUCUCUUAGGGUAAAUGCCAGAUGCUUCUUCAC
rnacentral:lncRNA from 10 species